rnacentral:piRNA from 1 species
UGAUCUGACAAAGAUCUGCUUGGUUGACCUC